UCGCUGUGCAGUAAACUGGGCACAUCUUUCAUUAAGUCGCAGACGUACGGUUGCGUAGGGCAGAUUUUUGAAAUACGUUUGCUGGUGCGUGUGUGUGGGUUCUUAGUGAAUCCACUUUCUUUGGAUUUACCACGCUGGAACUAAUGGAAUUAGAGAAUAUUGUUGCUAAUACGGUGUAUUUGAAGGCUAGAGAAGGUGGUGCUGAUAGCAACAAAGGGAAAAGCAAAAAAUGGAAAAAAAUUCUACAGUUUCCUCAUAUUUCACACUGUAUAGAUCUAAAGAACAAAAUAGAUUGCAGGUAUUCUUAUGUUGUAGAACAGCAGCCUAUUGGGCAUCAAUUGUUCAGGCAAUUCUGCGAAACAAAGCCCCAUUAUAGUAAAUGUAAUGACUUUCUAGAUAUAGUGGAUAUAUAUGAAGUACAGUUAGACGAGGAUAGAGCAGAUGUUGCUCAGGAGGUCUUCAGUAAAUAUUUAAGCAAAGAUUCCAGUGAAUUCGUAGAUGUUGUUAAUGAAGAUCUGAUAGAAAGAUGUCAUGCAAAUCUCCAAACGGCCAGCAGAGAUUUGUUUACUGAGUGUGCAAGGGCUGUCAAAGAGUUCUUGUCUCGGGAGCCAUUUAAAGAGUUUGAAAACAGCAUGUACUUUCAUAGAUACUUGCAGUGGAAAUGGCUAGAGAGCCAGCCAGUGACAGCAAAAACCUUCCGAAUGUACCGUGUCUUAGGAAAGGGUGGUUUCGGUGAGGUCUGUGCUUGUCAGGUGAGAGCUACAGGAAAGAUGUAUGCAUGCAAGAAAUUGGAAAAAAAAAGAAUAAAAAAAAGAAAAGGAGAAUCUAUGGUUUUGAUAGAAAAGAAUAUACUCCAGAAAAUAAACUCAAGAUUUGUUGUCAGUCUAGCCUAUGCAUAUGAAACAAAAGAUGCUCUUUGCCUUGUGCUCACAAUAAUGAAUGGUGGUGACCUGAAGUUUCAUAUUUAUAACAUGGGGGGAGAACCUGGAUUUGAUUUGGAACGUGCAAGGUUUUAUGCAGCUGAAGUUACUCAAGGCUUAGAACAUUUACAUGCUCAAGGAAUAGUAUACAGGGACUUGAAGCCAGAGAAUAUUUUACUGGAUGAUCAUGGACAUGUUAGGAUAUCUGAUCUGGGCUUAGCAACAGAAAUUUUAGAAGGUGAAAUGGUAAGAGGGCGAGUUGGAACUGUUGGAUAUAUGGCACCAGAAGUAAUAGACAAUGAGAAAUACACUUUCAGUCCUGAUUGGUUUAGUCUUGGUUGCUUUAUAUAUGAAAUGAUUGAAGGUCAGGCACCAUUUCGGGCUAGGAAAGAGAAAGUUAAAAGAGAAGAAGUUGAACGGCGAGUGAAAGAAGACAAAGAAAGAUAUUCCUCAAAAUUUAGUGAUGAUGCCAAGUCCUUGUGUCAUGAGCUGCUGAAAAAGUCUGUGAAAGAAAGGUUAGGUUGUAAUAAUGGAAGAUACGGAUCACUGAAAGUGAAGGCUCACCCAUUCUUCAAAUCUAUCAACUGGAAAAGGCUGGAAGCUGGAAUACUUCAACCUCCUUUUGUGCCUGAUCCUCAUGCUGUGUAUGCCAAAGAUGUAUUGGAUAUAGAGCAGUUUUCCACAGUAAAAGGAGUAAAUUUAGAUGCUAGUGAUGAUACAUUUUAUAGUAAAUUUAAUAUGGGAAGCAUUUCUAUACCUUGGCAAAAUGAAAUGAUAGAAACAGAGUGCUUUCAAGAGCUAAAUGUUUUCGGACCUGAUGGAACUCCAAGUCCAGAUUUAAUGCUAGAUCAGCCUCCACCAGUUGAACCUUCUGGGUGCUUUCCAUUCCGUAAGAAGGCUAAAAACUGGAAUUUUUGUUGUUGAACAUUUAGCCAUUGGAAAGAAUGCUCCAUGUCUACUCAAGAUGGCCCGCUAACCUACCGUGAAAAUUCCUAACAAAGUGAAAACAUCAAAUAGCCAUGCUCAUUUGUCUUUAUCUGAAGAACCUAAUUCAUCUGUUCUGUUACUUCCUGUCUCUGGAGCUUCCAGUGGUGUAAAUUCCAUGGGCCAAGAACUGUCU
rnacentral:misc_RNA from 1 species